rnacentral:sRNA from 1 species
UUGCAGGUGGAUCAACCAGUUAUUGGUGACAAGUUGAUGGUACUGAAUCCCAUCCCCACUGACGGGCUUGGGCAGAGAUCCAUCCAUAUCCGAAAAUGCAAACCUUUCUGACAGUAAUACUUACAGCACGCAGCGUUGGGCGUCAGUGUUGGUUUCUGUUGCUGGGAGGACAUUUGAUAGGGAAAUGGCAGCAUUAGCUGUAGAGAGGGAACGUGUUGGUAGCCCACAGAUAGCCUCUCCUUGUUACCUGGAUGAUACUGUGUGCCCAUGUCCCCACAGCACUGGGAGGCCAGUGCGGACGGUAGCUGGAGUUAAAUGAGUCCCUACAACUGCUUGCUAGUUCAGGACUCACAGGACCCAGCAAAUAAUCACCCUGAAAUCUCUGAAUAUGCACAGCAUCAUGGGCGGAGGGACAAGGAAUCCAGAGGAGGCUAACAAAGCCAGGUACUGUCUGCUUCUCUGAGCUUUUAGGGGGUGAUGUUCCUUAAGGGCAUUUUCAGCUUUGGCUGGUUUGGAGUACUGCGUAUGUGGUUGAGCAUGGCAUCCCUGCUCCUUUGGGUCAAAAAGAGCUCUUCUUUCUGUGCCCAAGGAUGUUUGUACCCUUCCACAGGGAUCACAAGGAUAGAUAGGUAUUUGCGUUGUCUCCAGUUCAAAAAGUAACCAUGGUUCUGGUACCAUUGAAAAAGGCACCCUUGCAGUCAGCUGAGGUGCAGCACAAGCCUGCUGGCACUGCUUAGAACACAGAGCUGAGCUUUCCCCUAUGCUUUGCUGCAACUGACCAAAAUCUAGUUUUCUGUAACUGCUUAGUUGGGCAUCUUAUCAGGAAUGGGAGCUACAUUGCCUGCCUCCAUCAGCCUUUUGCUCUGUUUCCACACAUCCAGAGAGAAGAGGCACAUCUUCACCACCGCUCUCGUGCUUUUCUCCACACCACUGAUGUCACUUUGGCUUUCAGUAGAUGAAAUCAGCUUAUUCAAAACAUUUGUCUCGAUCCUCUAUGGAGCACCAUGGCCAGAGGGGAGCAGUGUGCUCAAGUAACCCAGCUCAGUGGACUUGCUGUCUUGCUCUCUCGAUCGCUGCAGGUGCUGUCGGAAACCUUGCCCUUCCUGAGGCCCACUGACACCUCCACCACUCACAAGGGCCAAAGAUUGAUUUGGUCAUGUGGGUACAACUGCAACGAAGAAGAUCGACGUCUACCUCCCCCUGCACUCAAGCCAGGACAGACUGCUGCCAAUGACUGUGGUGACCAUGGCCAGCGCCAGGGUGCAGGACCUCAUCGGGCUCAUCUGUUGGCAGUACACGAGUGAAGGACGGGAGCCAAAGCUCAAUGACAACGUCAGUGCCUACUGCCUGCAUAUUGCUGAGGAUGAUGGGGAGGUGGACACGGAUUUCCCACCGCUGGAUUCCAAUGAACCCAUUCAUAAGUUUGGCUUCAGUACUUUGGCCCUGGUUGAAAAGUACUCUUCCCCUGGUCUGACCUCCAAAGAGUCGCUCUUUGUUCGAAUGUGAGUACUCCCUGUUAUCUCCUCAGUGUGUCACCCUGACCUUCAGGCAUUGUUUAUCAGGUGACGUAUAUGUGUUACCUGGAACAUCUGCUCACAUGGUUACCUGCAAAACACUUGGGGACCAUGUGCAUUGCCGUUUGGUGCUUCUGUGCCGAGGACAUGUGCAGCCUGUUGAGCAGUGGUAGACUGAGAUGGAUCCGGGAACAGCAUGUCUACAGAUGACCUCUGGGAGCAGUGGUGACUAAGAGCCUAGGAAGCAUUAUCUGGGUUUGCCCCUUUCUAGUCAAGGAUACCAACCUAAUACAAAUGCAUAAUUGUGGCUAUUUUUCUAUUGUGACGUAAAAUGCUUUUUUCUCCAACUGGUUCAGAUUCUAUCUGUUUUUCCUCGGUUGCCUUCCUUUAGACUAUGCCUACUCUAUGUUUUUGUCAAUCUGGUAAAGCCUUAAAAAACCACUCUCAGAGAAGUGUAUGUACAUACAUAAAAUAAAAUUCAUUGGAAUAUAAAGACUCUCAUAUUGAAAGUCAACAGAUCAUUAAACAACUCUGCAUGUAGUGAUACAUCUGACUUUAUUAAUAGAUUGCCUAACAAGACCCAGAGGAGUUCUAACUACUGCUCUUAAAGCCUGUUGAUCAGAGCAGCAGUGAGUCUAAAUGCUGCUUCAGGAGUCCGCACCGUUUGUAGCAAACAGCAGUUAGCAUGAUUGGCACCAGCAUGGCUCAUCCUGCUGUGAAUUGUUGCCUCCACUUUCCAUUGGAGGAGAUGCUAAGGACUGCAGUGGGGACGAGCGUGUGUCCAUCGGGGUCCAUGGUCCUGAGGCCCAGAGCUGAGGGCAAGCCCACACACUCAGGUUUAACCUAAGUGUUUCUAAUCUCCCUCUCCUGGCUAUCUCCUGGGACUAAUAGUGAUCCCUUUGGCACCCCCUGCUGUUUGGAACCAGCAAAUUCAUAGUCCUAAUGAGGGAUUACUUUAAAGGAUCUUCUCCUUUCCCUUUAAAACAGAUUCCUGGGGCUGGAGAGA